GUGGGGAAUAUUGCACAAUGGGCGAAAGCCUGAUGCAGCAACGCCGCGUGAGGGACGACGGCCUUCGGGUUGUAAACCUCUUUUAGUAGGGAAGAAGCGAAAGUGACGGUACCUGCAGAAAAAGCACCGGCUAACUAUGUGCCAGCAGCCGCGGUAAUACGUAGGGUGCAAGCGUUAUCCGGAAUUAUUGGGCGUAAAGAGCUCGUAGGCGGUCUGUCGCGUCUGCUGUGAAAACUGGAGGCUCAACCUCCAGCCUGCAGUGGGUACGGGCAGACUAGAGUGCGGUAGGGGAGAUUGGAAUUCCUGGUGUAGCGGUGGAAUGCGCAGAUAUCAGGAGGAACACCGAUGGCGAAGGCAGAUCUCUGGGCCGUAACUGACGCUGAGGAGCGAAAGCGUGGGGAGCGAACAGGAUUAGAAACCCCAGUAGUCC
rnacentral:rRNA from 1 species